rnacentral:rRNA from 1 species
UGGGGAAUAUUUGACAAUGGGCGCAAGCCUGAUCCAGCCAUGCCGCGUGAGUGAUGAAGGCCCUAGGGUUGUAAAGCUCUUUCACCGGUGAAGAUAAUGACGGUAACCGGAGAAGAAGCCCCGGCUAACUUCGUGCCAGCAGCCGCGGUAAUACGAAGGGGGCUAGCGUUGUUCGGAUUUACUGGGCGUAAAGCGCACGUAGGCGGACUAUUAAGUCAGGGGUGAAAUCCCGGGGCUCAACCCCGGAACGGACUUUGAUACUGGUAGUCUUGAGUUCGAGAGGGGUGAGUGGAAUUCCGAGUGUAAAGGUGAAAUUCGUAGAUAUUCGGAGGAACACCAGUGGGGAAGGUGGUGCACUGGCUCGAUACUGACGCUGGGGUGCGAAAGCGUGGGGAGCAAAAAGG